rnacentral:rRNA from 1 species
AGAGUUUGAUCAUGGCUCAGAUUGAACGCUGGCGGCAGGCUUAACACAUGCAAGUCGAGCGGUAACAUUUCUAGCUUGCUAGAAGAUGACGAGCGGCGGACGGGUGAGUAAUGCUUGGGAAUAUGCCUUAUGGUGGGGGACAACAGUUGGAAACGACUGCUAAUACCGCAUAACGUCUACGGACCAAAGGGGGGGAUCUUCGGACCUCUCGCCAUUUGAUUAGCCCAAGUGAGAUUAGCUAGUUGGUGAGGUAAAGGCUCACCAAGGCGACGAUCUCUAGCUGGUUUGAGAGGAUGAUCAGCCACACUGGGACUGAGACACGGCCCAGACUCCUACGGGAGGCAGCAGUGGGGAAUAUUGCACAAUGGGCGAAAGCCUGAUGCAGCCAUGCCGCGUGUGUGAAGAAGGCCUUCGGGUUGUAAAGCACUUUCAGUUGUGAGGAAAGGUGGUAGUUUAAUAUGCUAUUACUGUGACGUUAACAACAGAAGAAGCACCGGCUAACUUCGUGCCAGCAGCCGCGGUAAUACGAGGGGUGCAAGCGUUAAUCGGAAUUAUUGGGCGUAAAGCGUUCGUAGGCGGUCUAUUAAGCAAGAUGUGAAAGCCCAGGGCUCAACCUUGGAACUGCAUUUUGAACUGGUAGACUAGAGUACUGUAGAGGGUGGUGGAAUUUCCAGUGUAGCGGUGAAAUGCGUAGAGAUUGGAAGGAACAUCAGUGGCGAAGGCGGCCACCUGGACAGAUACUGACGCUGAGGAACGAAAGCGUGGGGAGCGAACAGGAUUAGAUACCCUGGUAGUCCACGCCGUAAACGAUGUCAACUAGCCGUUCGUGGACUUGAUCCGUGAGUGGCGCAGCUAACGCACUAAGUUGACCGCCUGGGGAGUACGGCCGCAAGGUUAAAACUCAAAGGAAUUGACGG